rnacentral:rRNA from 1 species
UAGGGAAUCUUCGGCAAUGGACGAAAGUCUGACCGAGCAACGCCGCGUGAGUGAAGAAGGUUUUCGGAUCGUAAAACUCUGUUGUUAGAGAAGAACAAGGACGUUAGUAACUGAACGUCCCCUGACGGUAUCUAACCAGAAAGCCACGGCUAACUACGUGCCAGCAGCCGCGGUAAUACGUAGGUGGCAAGCGUUGUCCGGCUUUAUUGGGCGUAAAGCGAGCGCAGGCGGUUUCUUAAGUCUGAUGUGAAAGCCCCCGGCUCAACCGGGGAGGGUCAUUGGAAACUGGGAGACUUGAGUGCAGAAGAGGAGAGUGGAAAUCCAUGUGUAGCGGUGAAAUGCGUAGAUAUAUGGGGGAACACCAGUGGCGAAGGCGGCCCCCUGGACAAAGACUGACGCUCAGGUGCGAAAGCGUGGGGAGCAAACAGG